AGGAUCAGAAUGGCUUCAUUUCUGCUGCUGAGCUCCGACAUGUCAUGACAAAUCUUGGUGAGAAGCUGACAGAUGAGGAGGUUGAUGAGAUGAUCCGAGAGGCGGAUGUGGAUGGUGAUGGCCAGAUCAACUAUGAGGAGUUUGUCAAAGUCAUGAUGGCCAAGUAAGGAGCAGUCAACCAUAACUAGAAGUUAAAAAAACAUAAGAAGAGAGAAGGAACGGGGCAGAUAAGUUUGAUGAGAAAAAUACUAUUUCCCUUAGGACAUCUUCAUUUGGUGAUAUUAGCUUUGGUUGGAUUGUCUGUUGGCUUGUUUGCAUUAUUUUGUUGCACUUUCCAUUACUAUUUGCUCUGUUUCUUGUUAGUAGCUUGGCUUGUUAGUUUCUUUCUUUUAUUGUUUGUUAUUUUAUAUCUACCUUUGGAUUAUGAACCUAGAACAAUCUGGAUGGAUAAUCAUGUUUUGCUUAUGCAUGACUAAUUUUGUUAAUAUUCUAAAGUUUA
rnacentral:lncRNA from 1 species